GCAACUGUCAAACACAGCACUGUGCUCAACAUUGUCAGCGUUCUUCCAUCUGCUUUCUCAAAGGCAGGCUUCUUUCUUCCAUUACAGGAGAGUUGACAGAAGGAGGGAGCUAAAUUCUGGUGCAGGAAGGUGGCUUUGGAGUGAGAGAGAGAAAUAAGAAUCAACCCAACUCAGGAAACAGCAGAGGCGAGGAAGUAAUUUCAAGAUGUUUAGGAAUAAUACUGACCAUAAGCUAAAGGUGGAAGCCAUAAUUAAAAACAUUAACACAAUUUCUUUGGAGCUGAAGAAGAUGAAAGAGUUGCAUCACAUGCAUAUGACUGCAGCAGCCACCGCCCAGGGGAAUGGGACUGCCAAAACCAAUUUGGACCAGUCAGGACUUAAAUGCUGGAGCUGGGGAGAGGAUCACCACGAGUGGAAUACAAUCGUGCCAGGAAGAAGAAGAGGGCAGUGGCCUUCAGU